CAGGCUUUUACAGGUCUGACAGAUAUAGCCCGUCCCUUUAAAUCCAGGAGGACGUCACCGAGAGAGAGAGAAUCAGCGAGCUUGAGGUUCCUGGAUAUUGACACAGUCACUGUACGGUUGGGUGUAUACACACCUGAGCAGAGAAUGUAGGGAGUGUACCAGAACAGCUAAAGAGAGAGAUUGUGCACGUUCACACCAGAAAAUCCACACAAUCACAAGACACAGGGAGUGAAAAAGAACAGCUAAAGAUGAAUGUGCAUUGGACCACGUCAAAACUUCACAAUGUAAAUUGACACAAUUGGUGCUACCAUUACGGCCCUCAAUGUAUGGAUAUGUCUACCCAAUCUUAGCAAUAAUUUCUUGGAGAAAUUAAUGAACUGAAAGACUAGGCAAGUUGGAAUAUCCAUACAUCUUGGCGCCAGCGGUGCAAUAUUACGACAAUCUAACGAGUCUGUGUACUUACGCAUCUUGCGGCACUCCUGCAUACAUUGUGACCCGUCUAUGUUGUAAAUAGC